UCCCUGGUGGCUCAGAGGUUAAAGUAUCUGCCCUCAAUGCAGGAGACCCAGGUUCGAUCCCUGGGUUGGGAA
rfam:TPA: Bos taurus chromosome 24, whole genome shotgun sequence.